GGGUACCAAAAGACGAAGGCAGUCUUCGAGCAGCGUCGUUCCAAAAAGAAAAAAGAAAAACUCAGCCGCCGGCCGCUGCCCCUCUCGGCUGCACGACGUCCGUGAGGGCGUGCCCCCUGGCCCCGUCCCUUGUCGCCUGCCCGCCGGUGCCCGCACAGGCUGCCAGUGCCAUACUGCCAUCCCUCCGUCCGGCCGUCUGCCCAGGCUGCCUGCCCGGCGCCCUGGCCUCCCGGUCGCUGGCUCUCUGCCCAGGCGCCAGGCCGCAGGUCCCACCGCCCCAGACCACCCGCGAACCAGUCCGCUGCAGGCUGCAGGCCACCGUCCCUCCAGUUCGCCGGUCAGAUUAUUAACCAUUCAGAUACCCCAGCUCCGCCUAGACGCGAAUCCUCCGCCACUAUGGUGGCAGCGGUGUCCCUGCCGAGCCAAGCACAGGCCGUGCUUCGGAGCCGGCUCUGCGACCCGGUCUUCAUCCACUCCGCCCUCAGUAGCUCCCUGGACACUAAUUACAGCAAGCUGAAGUACCUCGUCGCCAGCUCGGUCUCCGAGGCCUGCAACAAUUCUGUCCUCCUCUUGGGUCCCCGCGGGUGUGGAAAAGCAGCGGUGGUCGACAUGGUUCUUGAUGAUCUGAAGGAGGAGCACCCAGAUGCGAUUUCCGUGAUCAGACUAAAUGGGAUGCUACAUAAUGACGACAACUGUGCUAUGAAGGAAAUUGCCAGACAACUUUGUUUGGAGCAUCAGUUAUCAUUUUCAAAAAUGGCUUCUUCAGAUGACAACACUGAGUUCAUGAUUGACAUGUUACGGGAGUGCGGACUAGCUCACAAGACAAUACUAUUUAUUCUAGAAGAAUUCGACCUCUUUGCUCAGGGUAAACAGAGGUUGCUUUACAGCUUACUUGAUGCAAUGCAAUCUCUAACAUCCCAAGCUGUUGUCAUUGGUGUGAGUUGCCGCUUGGAUGCAGAUCAACUCCUAGAGAAAAGGGUUAGAUCCCGAUUCUCUCAUAGGAAACUUUUAUUUAUUUCGCCUUCGUUGGAUGAUAUACAACGGUUGGUGGAGCAUUUGCUUAUACUGGCCAAAGACUCAGGUUUACCAUCAAAGUAUAUCGCCGAUUAUAACUCAAGACUUACUAGCAUUUUUAGUGAUAAGAAAUUCAAAGGUUGUCUCAACUCCCUCAUGGAUGCUGAUGCAACAACGAGCAACAUUCAAAGAUUUCUUUUCAGAGCUGUGUCAUAUAUGGACAUGGAAUCUGGAUUCCUGUCGGUAGAAAGCUUCCUAAAGGCCCUUUCUUCCAUGCAGAGGCAACCUAAGAUGGACAGCUUACAAGUCAAAACUUUGACGCAGAUCUCUCGAUUUUGGAAUUAUACAUUCUUGUGUGCAUGCACAGAUUAGAAAGUAAGGAGCAAACCUCAUACAACUUCACCAGCAUAAUGAAAGAAUACAGAUCCAUACAAGACGCCUAUAAGACUUCUGAUAAAUAUGCAAGCACCGUUUGUUUUAGGGCCUUUGAGCACCUUUCGGAUCGUGAGCUGAUUAGUUUUGGUGACAAUAGAUGGAGAAACCAGGCGCUUGAAUACCGACCUGUUAAGCUCCUCAUAUCCUCCCGCGAGCUCGCUGAGUCCCUCAAGCUGAACACCACCUGCCCCGCUGUACUGCAGAAGCUGUUUGAUCGUGAAAGAUACAUGUAGAAUCUCCUUUCAGAUGGCCGCGCUUCACCUGACUUGAGUCGCCGCUUUCAUGUUUCACCGGGUUGUCAAGUUCAUGUUUCACUGUAAACCGGCGAUUGUAUUAGUAUCUUGUCCACUGUUCGCUGGAAAAGGUGUGGGCCGUGUGGCCAACUGCCCAGCGUGAGUCGUGACCUGCCUGUCAAUCGCUUGAGUCUUGACCAUAGGCCACACGGAAUUAGAUAUCUGUGGUGCACUGAUUUUGGGCUAACGACCCGAUUUCUAUCUCGCACAAGUUUAGCAGCGUGGUGACAGUAUUUUGGUAGCUUUGAAAUGAAUGCGCUAUUCGGAGUUUACAAAAAUA